AGCUUUGCACAGUGGCAGUAUUGGAGUCAAUGAGGUUUUUUCCAAGUCAUGAUUAUUGCUAAUUGAAACCAGUGCCCCAUCUCCCUAUCCACACUCAGAGUCAGGAUUGAGGGAGCCUCAGAGCC
rnacentral:snRNA from 1 species